rnacentral:rRNA from 1 species
AAACGACUCUCGGCAACGGAUAUCUCGGCUCNNGCAUCGAUGAAGAACNCAGCAAAAUGCNAUACUUGGUGUGAAUUGCAGAAUCCCGUGAACCAUCNAGUUUUUGAACCCAAGUUGCGCCCAAAGCCAUCCGGCCGAGGGCACGCCUGCCUGGGCGUCACGC